rnacentral:rRNA from 1 species
GAUGAACGCUGGCGGCGUGCUUAACACAUGCAAGUCGAACGGAAAGGCCCAAGCUUGCUUGGGUACUCGAGUGGCGAACGGGUGAGUAACACGUGGGUGAUCUGCCCUGCACUUCGGGAUAAGCCUGGGAAACUGGGUCUAAUACCGGAUAGGACCACAUUUUGGAUGGUGUGGUGGAAAGUUUUUCGGUGUGGGAUGAGCUCGCGGCCUAUCAGCUUGUUGGUGGGGUAAUGGCCUACCAAGGCGUCGACGGGUAGCCGGCCUGGGAGGGUGUACGGCCACAUUGGGACUGGGAUACGGCCCAGACUCCUACGGGAGGCAGCAGUGGGGAAUAUUGCACAAUGGGCGCAAGCCUGAUGCAGCGACGCCGCGUGGGGGAUGACGGCCUUCGGGUUGUAAACUCCUUUCGCUAGGGACGAAGCGUUAUGUGACGGUACCUGGAGAAGAAGCACCGGCUAACUACGUG